rnacentral:tRNA from 1 species
GGGGCUGUAGCUCAAUGGCAGAGCGCUUGCCUAGCAUGCGUGAGGCACUGAGUUUGAUCCUCAGCACCACA